UACAGAGACUGCAAGCGUUAUUCGGAUUCACUGGGCGUAAAGGGUGCGCAGGCGGUUGGGUGUGUCAGAUGUGAAAUCCCGAGGCUUAACCUCGGAACUGCGUCUGAAACUACUCGACUAGAGUACUGGAGAGGGUAACGGAAUUCACGGUGUAGCAGUGAAAUUCGUAGAUAUUCGGAAGAACACCAGUGGCGAAGGCGGCUCACUGGUCCGGUACUGACGCUGAGGUGCGAAAGCGUGGGGAGCAAACAGG
rnacentral:rRNA from 1 species